rnacentral:rRNA from 1 species
UGGGGAAUUUUGGACAAUGGGCGCAAGCCUGAUCCAGCAAUGCCGCGUGCAGGAUGAAGGCCUUCGGGUUGUAAACUGCUUUUGUACGGAACGAAAAAGCUCUCUCUAGUACAGGGGGUGAAUGACGGUACCGUAAGAAUAAGCACCGGCUAACUACGUGCCAGCAGCCGCGGUAAUACGUAGGGUGCAAGCGUUAAUCGGAAUUACUGGGCGUAAAGCGUGCGCAGGCGGGUUUGUAAGACAGAGGUGAAAUCCCCGGGCUCAACCUGGGAACUGCCUUUGUGACUGCAAAGCUGGAGUGCGGCAGAGGGGGAUGGAAUUCCGCGUGUAGCAGUGAAAUGCGUAGAUAUGCGGAGGAACACCGAUGGCGAAGGCAAUCCCCUGGGCCUGCACUGACGCUCAUGCACGAAAGCGUGGGGAGCAAACA